UUAAUAGAAGCCAAAUUAGAGGCAUAUUACUGUUAAUAAUAUUAUUGAAAUAAAUUUCCUAUUAAG
rnacentral:tRNA from 1 species